rnacentral:rRNA from 1 species
UUGAACGCUGGCGGCAGGCCUCACACAUGCAAGUCGAGCGGAUGAAGGGAGCUUGCUCCUGGAUUCAGCGGCGGACGGGUGAGUAAUGCCUAGGAAUCUGCCUGGUAGUGGGGGAUAACGUCCGGAAACGGGCGCUAAUACCGCAUACGUCCUGAGGGAGAAAGUGGGGGAUCUUCGGACCUCACGCUAUCAGAUGAGCCUAGGUCGGAUUAGCUAGUUGGUGGGGUAAAGGCCUACCAAGGCGACGAUCCGUAACUGGUCUGAGAGGAUGAUCAGUCACACUGGAACUGAGACACGGUCCAGACUCCUACGGGAGGCAGCAGUGGGGAAUAUUGGACGAUGGGCGAAAGCCUGAUCCAGCCAUGCCGCGUGUGUGAAGAAGGUCUUCGGAUUGUAAAGCACUUUAAGUUGGGAGGAAGGGCAGUAAGUUAAUACCUUGCUGUUUUGACGUUACCAACAGAAUAAGCACCGGCUAACUUCGUG